AAUAUGAGAACAGAGCGUCUACCCCUGGUGAGUAGAUAUGCUAAGGCGCCUGCCCAAGUGUGUAAGGUUGAGCCGACUAAUAUGAGAACAGAGCGUCUACCCCUGGUGAGUAGAUAUGCUAAGGCGCCUGCCCAAGUGUGUAAGGUUGAGCCGACUAAUAUGAGAACAGAGCGUCUACCCCUGGUGAGUAGAUAUGCUAAGGCGCCUGCCCAGGUGUGUAAGGUUGAGCCGACUAAUAUGAGAACAGAGCGUCUGCCCUGGUGAGCAGAUAUGCUAAGGCCUGCCCAUGUGUGUAGGUAAGCCAAUAAGUAAGAGAUAUAAAGCAUCUGCCCUGGUGAGCAUGUUAUGCAUAAAUGAUAAUUUCUAAACUGGCUAGAAUCCUUUGUUUAUGUCUCUAUAUACAGUUUCGUUAUAACUGCUAAAGUUUCAACUAAUACUCUUAGGUCCAAGUAGCCAAAUGUGAUCACAUUCCCUAAACUAUAUAUUAUAUUUACUAUCUUAUAUUAAACUUAUUAUAUAAUGUUAUAUAUCUAGGUAUAAUCAUAUAUAUCUCAAUGUGUCAUGACAUAAUGGUAGUCCUUAUAAUUAUGUAUUAUAAUUGUAGUAUGAUAUUAAAUAUGUUGACAACAUUGAUGGGCUUUGAAAGGCUUGAAGCCUUUUUUGUGCCCGAGUCACCGAGAGUGUCGGUGUCAUCGGGCAUUCUAUUUAACCCUACAGGAGGUGAAUCGGUGGACGUGUCUCCGACCAAGUAUCAAUGUGAAGCAGAUAUAGUCUCAGAAUACUAAUCUCAGUGGGAAACUAUAGGUCAGUUAUAAUUUGAUAUAUUUUUUAAUUCGAUCAAUAUCGCUAUGUUCUGGCGUAGCGACAACAACUACAUACAUAAGAACGUCGAUAGAAGGAGGGUUUAGCAACAUACCCAGUUAGUCAGUUACACAGUAAAUGGAAACUUUAGGCCGUACACGUCGAAAACACAGGAUUUGCCUUUUAUGAGGAUACUUAAACAUAAUAAUACAAAAUGCCAGUGUAAUUACCGUUAUCUCUCAGAGUAUUGAAAUGCAUCUCAGAAUAAUAACUCAGGAGAUGCUUUCGAAAUAAAUAUAACAUUAUUAUUUAA
rnacentral:lncRNA from 1 species